rnacentral:rRNA from 1 species
GGGAGGCUUUGAAGUGUGGACGCCAGUCUGCAUGGAGCCGACCUUGAAAUACCACCCUUUAAUGUUUGAUGUUCUAACGUGGACCCGUGAUCCGGGUUGCGGACAGUGUCUGGUGGGUAGUUUGACUGGGGCGGUCUCCUCCUAAAGAGUAACGGAGGAGCACGAAGGUUGGCUAAUCCUGGUCGGACAUCAGGAGGUUAGUGCAAUGGCAUAAGCCAGCUUGACUGCGAGCGUGACGGCGCGAGCAGGUGCGAAAGCAGGUCAUAGUGAUCCGGUGGUUCUGAAUGGAAGGGCCAUCGCUCAACGGAUAAAAGGUACUCCGGGGAUAACAGGCUGAUACCGCCCAAGAGUUCAUAUCGACGGCGGUGUUUGGCACCUCGAUGUCGGCUCAUCACAUCCUGGGGCUGAAGUAGGUCCCAAGGGUAUGGCUGUUCGCCAUUUAAAGUGGUACGCGAGCUGGGUUUAGAACGUCGUGAGACAGUUCGGUCCCUAUCUGCCGUGGGCGCUGGAGAACUGAGGGGGGCUGCUCCUAGUACGAGAGGACCGGAGUGGACGCAUCACUGGUGUUCGGGUUGUCAUGCCAAUGGCACUGCCCGGUAGCUAAAUGCGGAAGAGAUAAGUGCUGAAAGCAUCUAAGCACGAAACUUGCCCCGAGAUGAGUUCUCCCUGACCCUUUAAGGGUCCUGAAGGAACGUUGAAGACGACGACGUUGAUAGGCCGGGUGUGUAAGCGCAGCGAUGCGUUGAGCUAACCGGUACUAAUGAACCGUGAGGCUUAACCUUACAACGCCGAAG